CAGAUAAUCCAGCAAGUUUGCAGGCCAAAUGGCUCUCUGAAUAUGAGCCCACAAAGUGCUGAAUGAGAUGGCACGCUGCUCUGGGAGAUUCCAGCACAGCUAGCCAGAAGCCACUGAUCCAUGGUUAAUAGCAGUUAGCACUAUGCAUCUGAGCUCCUGGCUUUCUACAUGUAAUGAAUUAUUCUGCUUCGUGGGGAGCCAGCCAUGCAUUUGAUGUCUGGAACAGGGUCUCCUUUGCUGAGAGCUGCAGGCGCCUGAGAGCUCUGGUGGCUGCCGUUUGGGAUUGAGCACAGUCCCAGAGGACUCCCUGGCUCCUGCAGCUAUG